UACUUUGUUCAGUGCUCAGCAACUGCAAC
rnacentral:piRNA from 1 species